GCCUCUGUAGCUCAGUUGGUUAGAGCGCUGUGCACACUGGAAUUGCAGGACCACAGUUUCAAUUCCAGCCAGGGACA